AUGUAAGCAACAAAAACUGUUUGAUACAAUUGCAUCAGCUAGAAGACUUCAUUAAAGAAAAAAAUUAAUGCCAUAGAAGCUGUAAUAGACAUUCUAAUAACUUAGUUUUGUCCAUAAAAUAAUAAGGGAGUUCUAUGUUGAAUAGAACUUCGGUGUUAAAAUUUUAAACGUGGAAUAGUUAUUCACAGAUUAGCCAUUCCCCAAUUUCAACUUCAAAUUAUAAAUGUGGAAUAAAAUACUCCAAAGAAUAGCUAUUUUACAAAUUAGUGGAACACAAGUUCCACAUAUAAUUGAAAUUUCAAGAAUAGCCAUGUCAUGGUCUAUGAAAUAGCUAUUCUAUUCUUAGUUUAUUUUAUUUCACAGCAACAUUAUGUGCAAUCCCGGCUACUAAUUUGUACAGAAUUCUCAAGUUUUCGGGAUAGUUUCUGGAAAUCCACUAGGAAGGUGACUAUUUGCGAUGGAUUUUAAGAUGCAGCAGCUAAAAUAGAAAGGGGAUGGAGAAGUAGCUAGGUAUGUGUUUCCAUUUAUAACGCCUACAAAUCUUUAAAAGCGUGUUUAAAAGAGGAGGCAUCACACAUCCAAAAAUGGUAAGGAAGCCUAAAACAUAAUUCUCGAAGGACGGCUACUUAAGCAGAUUCCUUUAAGUAGCUUCGGCAGGUACCUCCAAGCUGUGCAGGCUAAGCAGCUACUUUCCUAGGCUGUUGAGCAAACAACAAUACUAUCCAAAAUAGAAGUUGAACUUGAAUAGUGCGCUAUAUUCCCUUUUUGCACGCUUGUAAGACACUUUUUUUCAAAAUUAAAAAAAAAAAAUUAAGAUGACUUGCUUUAUGAUAAUAUGGAAAAAUCUAUGAUUUCAGGAUCUUCAAUUUAAAAGCAGAAUAUUGCAUUAUAUGUAAUUAAAUGAUUUAAAUUUAUCAAAUUAUUUGGAAAGUAAUUGACUAAAUUCAGAUGAUAUAAAACAUUGUAUCACAAGUUUAAUUACCAGAUAACAUAUUUCUCUAUGAACUAAGCAAGUAAGCACUGAUAUUAUACCUCUUCAGCAAACACAUCGAAAGG
rnacentral:misc_RNA from 1 species